CCCUUAGAUGUUCUGGGCCGCACGCGCGCUACACUGAUUCAUGCAACAAGUUUUGUCCUUGGCUGAUAGGCCUGGGUAAUCUUUGAACGUGAAUCAUGAUGGGGAUAGAUGAUUGCAAUUAUUCAUCUUCAACGAGGAAUUCCUAGUAAACGCAAGUCAUCAGCUUGCAUUGAUUACGUCCCUGCCCUUUGUACACACCGCCCGUCGCACCUACCGAUUGAAUGGUCCGGUGAAAUCUUCGGAUCUGAGAGAUGUCUGAUUAAUUUCGGACGCCUUUUGGAAAAGUUGCUUAAACCUUAUCAUUUAGAGGAAGGUGAAGUCGUAACA
rnacentral:rRNA from 1 species